GAGGGUAUGGCUCAAUGGUAGAGCACAUGCUUAGCAUGCAUGAGGUCCUGAGUUCAACCCCCAGCACCUCCU
rnacentral:tRNA from 1 species